UUACGGUGAUAUCACAUUGAAACACCUGUUCCCGUACGAUCACCGAAGUUAAGUAACGUCAAGCCUGGUCAGUACCUAAAUGGGUGACUGUUUGAGAAUACCAAAUGCUGUAAG